rnacentral:rRNA from 1 species
GGGCAUCCUUCCGGGAUUAGAGGAGCGAUCCGGCUGCGGAUGGUCAUGCGGCGCAUUAGCUUGUUGGCGGGGUAACGGCCCACCAAGGCGACGAUGCGUAGGGGUUCUGAGAGGAAGGUCCCCCACACUGGUACUGAGACACGGACCAGACUCCUACGGGAGGCAGCAGUGAGGAAUAUUGGUCAAUGGCCGGGAGGCUGAACCAGCCAAGUCGCGUGAGGGAAGACGGCCCUACGGGUUGUAAACCUCUUUUGCCGGGGAGCAAAGGGCGGGAUGUGUCCCGCGUCGAGAGUACCCGGAGAAAAAGCAUCGGCUAACUCCGUGCCAGCAGCCGCGGUAAUACGGAGGACGCGAGCGUUAUCCGGAUUUAUUGGGUUUAAAGGGUGCGCAGGCGGGAUGUCAAGUCAGCGGUAAAAUCGGGAGGCUCAACCUCUCUCAGCCGUUGAAACUGGCGUUCUUGAGUGGGCGAGAAGUAUGCGGAAUGCGUGGUGUAGCGGUGAAAUGCAUAGAUAUCACGCAGAACCCCGAUUGCGAAGGCAGCAUACCGGCGCCCGACUGACGCUCAUGCACGAAAGCGUGGGUAUCGAACAGGAUUAGAUACCCUGGUAGUCCACGCAGUAAACGAU